rnacentral:rRNA from 1 species
ACGGAAGGCAGCAGUGGGGAAUAUUGCACAAUGGAGGAAACUCUGAUGCAGCGAUGCCGCGUGGAGGAAGAAGGUUUUCGGAUUGUAAACUCCUGUCUUAAGGGACGAUAAUGACGGUACCUUAGGAGGAAGCUCCGGCUAACUACGUGCCAGCAGCCGCGGUAAUACGUAGGGAGCGAGCGUUGUCCGGAAUUACUGGGUGUAAAGGGAGUGUAGGCGGGACUGUAAGUCAGAUGUGAAAUAUGCCGGCUCAACUGGCAGACUGCAUUUGAAACUGCGGUUCUUGAGUGAAGUAGAGGUAAGCGGAAUUCCUAGUGUAGCGGUGAAAUGCGUAGAUAUUAGGAGGAACAUCAGUGGCGAAGGCGGCUUACUGGGCUUUAACUGACGCUGAGGCUCGAAAGCGUGGGGAGCAAACAGGAUUAGAUACCCUGGUA